rnacentral:lncRNA from 1 species
UUUUUUCUUCUCCCACACCCCUCGGAAGAUGCCGACAAGCCCAAAGGAAAGCGGAGUGUCCUGUGUGCCACAUGGAACUCGGGGAAAGGAAAUGAUUAAAGCCGUGAGGUUUCCUGGCUCUUCGUGGUGUUUACGCUCCAUGCCGUGUCCAUCACACUCAACUGAUAUUCACCUUGUUGCAGCAGGAAAUGAACCUCAACACAGUAGGAAUCAUCACUCAAUCACAUCAGGUGGAUCUCAGCUACUGCAACAGUGCCACAUCUGCCUUCCUGCUGUUAUUCCCUGCCAUGAUGACCAUGGACUAACCCUCUGAAGCUGUGAGCAAACCUUCCUUUCGUGAGUUGCCAUGGUGAUGGUGUCUCCUCACAGCAGUAGAAGAGUAACUAAGAUACCUAGGUUUUACUUCUCAUUUUUAAAAGUAUUACUAUCUUUUGGGGUGGGGGUUGAUCUCACUCAAAUAGGUGGGAGAAACUAAUAAAUUUUUGAAAUAUCUGA